AAUGAACGCUGGCGGCAGGCCUAACACAUGCAAGUCGAGCGAGCGGCGGACGGGUGAGUAAUGUAUGGGGACAUGCCCGAAAGCGGGGGAUAACUACGGGAAACGGCGGCGAAUAACGCAUACUGGCCGAUGAACCCAUUUGGGAUUAGCUAGUAGGUAAGGUAAGGGCCUACCUAGGCGACGAUCCCUAGCUGAUCUGAGAGGAUGAUCAGCCGCACUGGGACGGAGACACGGCCCAGACUCCUACGGGAGGCAGCAGUGGUGAAUAUUCCGCAAUGGACGAAAGCCUGAUCCAGCCACGCCGCGUGUGUGAAGAAGGCCCUCGGGUUGUAAAGUGCUGUCAGUCGAGAGGCGGUACCGACAGAGUAAGCACCGGCUAACUCCGUGCCAGCCGCCGCAGUAAUAC
rnacentral:rRNA from 1 species